rnacentral:rRNA from 1 species
AUUGAACGCUGGCGGCAUGCCUUACACAUGCAAGUCGAACGGUAACAGGUCUUCGGAUGCUGACGAGUGGCGAACGGGUGAGUAAUACAUCGGAACGUGCCCAGACGUGGGGGAUAACGAGGCGAAAGCUUUGCUAAUACCGCAUACGAUCUAAGGAUGAAAGCAGGGGACCGCAAGGCCUUGCGCGUUUGGAGCGGCCGAUGGCAGAUUAGGUAGUUGGUGGGAUAAAAGCUUACCAAGCCGACGAUCUGUAGCUGGUCUGAGAGGACGACCAGCCACACUGGGACUGAGACACGGCCCAGACUCCUACGGGAGGCAGCAGUGGGGAAUUUUGGACAAUGGGCGAAAGCCUGAUCCAGCAAUGCCGCGUGCAGGAUGAAGGCCUUCGGGUUGUAAACUGCUUUUGUACGGAACGAAAGGGCUCUGGCUAAUACCUGGGGCACAUGACGGUACCGUAAGAAUAAGCACCGGCUAACUACGUG